rnacentral:rRNA from 1 species
UAAGGAAUAUUGCGCAAUGGGCGAAAGCCUGACGCAGCGACGCCGCGUGGGGGAUGAAGGUCUUCGGAUUGUAAACCCCUUUCGGGAGGGAAGAUGGAAUGGGGUAACCCAUUCGGACGGUACCUCCAGAAGCAGCCACGGCUAACUUCGUGCCAGCAGCCGCGGUAAUACGAAGGUGGCAAGCGUUAUUCGGAUUUACUGGGCGUACAGGGAGCGUAGGCGGUUCGGUAAGCCCUCUGUGAAAUCUUCAGGCUUAACCUGGAAAAGUCGGAGGGGACUGCUGGGCUAGAGGACGGGAGAGGAGCGCGGAAUUCCCGGUGUAGCGGUGAAAUGCGUAGAGAUCGGGAGGAAGGCCGGUGGCGAAGGUGGCGCUCUGGAACGUUUCUGACGCUGAGGCUCGAAAGCGUGGGGAGCAAACAGGAUUAGAUACCCUUGUAGUCCCUGAGCGGGCUGGCAAGGCGCAU